rnacentral:rRNA from 1 species
UACGUAGGGGGCAAGCGUUGUCCGGAAUCAUUGGGCGUAAAGAGCGCGUAGGCGGUCCGGUAAGUCCGCUCUGAAAGUCCGGGGCUCAACCCCGGGAGGCGGGCGGAUACUGUCGGGCUAGAGUCCGGAAGAGGCGAGUGGAAUUCCUGGUGUAGCGGUGAAAUGCGCAGAUAUCAGGAGGAACACCAAUGGCGAAGGCAGCUCGCUGGGACGGUACUGACGCUGAGGCGCGAAAGCGUGGGAGCAAACAGG